ensembl:snoRNA Small nucleolar RNA SNORA57
CCUCCAUUUCUUGGCAUGCAUGUAGUUGUUCUGUACUCAUGCGUGUUAUGUACGGAGGAAUAUGAAAUUCAGUGCUAUGUCUUCGGUGCCGGUGUGUUAUGUCUGCCGGUUCUAUCCUCAAUCGCUGUGACAUUG